rnacentral:tRNA from 1 species
GCCAUUGUGGUAUAACGGUAACACACUCGGCGUGUAUUCGAGAGGUCCAGGUUCGAAUCCCGGCGAGGGCA